rnacentral:misc_RNA from 1 species
AAUCCUAUUCCAAUGGGAGAAUGGGAGCGUGAGGUGAGUGUUCCAAUGGCAGAUUGGGACCAGCCGCUGAUCCCGGAUUGCUCCGUGGAGCAAAACUAUUUGCUCCGCCGAAAUCGGCAGAUUUGACCGGAAGUCCUCGUGACGUAUUUCCUUCACCCGCCUCUGCUUCCUGUCACGGUCGCCUGUUUCCGGUCGCGGGCAGCUAUGGACGACAUGGGAAACGUGGACGCCGCUUCGUGCCGUGCGAUUUUGUUCGCGCUCCUAGACAGCUACGACUCAGACAGUACAAUUUCUAAGUCGAGUGAUGAUUCUUCUGACACGGACAGUGAAUGUGACGCUGCUGUGUGCCAACAGGCAUUUGAUGUGAUGUUCCGCCUGCCUGCAAAGAGGCCUAAAGUGAUUGGCUUCGUCGAGGACGUCGUUCGGCGAUACUCGGACGACGAGGUACCGUACAGCUCUAGGUGGUACUAGUGUGAACAAAAAAAGCCUUUUUCUGCAAUGUUAUGUUUUUCCCAAGUUCCGCAGGCACUUCCGUCUGUCCCGAUCUGUAGCGGAGCAACUGAUUGCGAGAUUUGCUGCUUCGACGGCGUGCCCGUCUAGCAGCCACGGCGGAGUGCCCGCAAAAUCUGCAGAAACUCACGUGCUGACUUUCAUAUGGUAUGCAGCCAAUAAAACAAGCAUGAGGGCGGUGGCAAGCCGCUUUGAUCUGUCAGAGAGUUCUGUUAACAGAAUCCUGAUAAGGGUGGCUGACUUUCUCCUCACCAGGGGUCCAUCUGUUGUGAC